rnacentral:lncRNA from 1 species
UAACAUUUACGUUUAUAUUUUUGUUUCCUUGUCUCAUCUUUAAAUACUUUAUGUGAAAUUGCUUGUGGAACUUGCAGCCAUAGAAAUAUUGAAUUUGUCUCCUGAUGUUGGCAGCCCUGAAUCUAAAUUAAACUUCAGGCGGACGAAAUAUUUAAACAAUUGAUGCACAGUGUUCGAAUUUUUUACUCAAUUCUUCAAAAUGAUGAUUCAUAAACUUUGCGUGAUAUUAACAAAUAAAAUCAAAACAAAUAACUAAACUAGUUUAUAUUUAACUAGCAUAACUGCAAAGCGAUUUAAUUUAAUGAAAAAUUAACAUUAUUAUUUUUUACCGUUGUUUUGUUUUCAAAUUGAAAUCUUUUUGUUGGCGUGAAUGAAAUUGCCAAUUAAAUUAUUUGUACGGAGCAAAGACACAUAGACUGACAUACAAAAUCUUUUAUUCAUAUAAAAGGACACUUUAUACUAGCACGUACUGUCGAACCUAGCCUAACUCCAUACAGUCGGCAUCGCCGGGACCUUUUCUCUCUCUCUCUCUCUCUCUCCUUCUCUUGGCUCUUUAUCCCGUUUAUCACAUAGUAUAAUACACGGCGAAUGAUAUCGAAUUAUAUUCCGUGUAGCACCGCGCGACUGCAAUCGUACUCACAUGCAAGGAAGAGGCAGCCGAGAAAUCCGCGAGUUCGAAUUUCUUCCGUCGACCGCGCCGCGCGCCAUCUGCCAGUGCGCGCGUAUACUGAUUCAAAAUCCUUCCGUCAGUCUAAUCGUCCUCGGUAAUCAUGCCGGAUUGCGAGGAAAUGUGUGUGAGAGUAUUGCGCGAGGAUACGGUGACAUGGCCAGACGGCGGAUAGGAAUUGACCGGUUUACAUGCAAACAUUCGUGCAUACGUACGUCUCGCUGCCUCGACCGACACCUCGUCACCUAGUUUUACAUGAGUAUUCUACGUAUAUCCAGCACGUCUUUUCCUGUCCGUCGCGCCAUUUGCUCACGAACAGGCCCUUCGAGAGCAAACCCACGGAGGAAGCGGCAAGUUUCCAGCGAGAAAUGCCACGCUCGUGUAAACACGAAGAAGGCCUCGGGAAUGCAACGACUUCUUCACGGAUAAUCCGUAAGUGGCUGUUUUGUCCGGCACGUAGCGCCCAUUCUAACGCAUUUUCGUUACACGUUUUCCUCUGCUAAAUAUUGUUUCCGCAAAAAUAGUUAUGUAGCAUUUAAGAUAUUAUCGGAGUUUAUUGAACUUCAUUUCGCAGGUAAUGGCAAUUAGAAUUCUGUUAGAUUACUCUUAUCGAAUAAAUGUGUGUUAUUGCAAUGAAAAAUUAGAAGUGCAACUGAAACUUGAAAAUUAUUUUUAAAAAUAAAUAAUUUAACUUUUUAACAUACGACGUAUAAAUAAAAGACAUCAUGAUAAAGCACAUUUAAGAAUAUAAAUUAAUAGUGUCGGCGAGGCGAUUAUGUCGAUUAGGAGUAUAUUAACCAUGUACUACCGCAUAAGAGAAGCCCAUUGAGAGUUGAUAUGCGUGGCAAAUUAUUAUCGCGGGGAGUGAUCGUUAAUCGAAGAUCACGGCGAGCGAAAUGGUGUCGCCGUCACAUUUAUUGGCAGGAAGAUCGUCACGAGUAAUCACCAAGUUUAGGGCGCGCUCAAUCGCGCCAGUUCACAUCAGGCCGCAUAAUAACAGGAAGACAUGCUACGAUCACGGUAAUUAAAACACGGCACGUUAUAAUCUUCAGCCCAUUAAAGCCCAUCAAUUACGCACACCCUACCCCCAACAAGCAGCAUCCCUGCAUGCUCGUCUGUGCGAGGCGCAUAAUUCAGGAUGAUGCUCUCGCGAUAAUGGCCGCUGGGCUGGACCAAUGAGUUGAUAGAUUCUUGGAAAGGCACGCGAUUUAAUGGACCAGACCGAAAAUUCCAACGCGAUGAAUUUUCGAUUAGAAUCUUCUUUGCAUCCCCGGAUAAUCGACCGGCCAGUUUAAUCACGUCGCGUUGCAAUGAUUCUUUUGCACAUUCUCUCUCGAUCGUGGGCAAAAUUUCAACCGGUUACGCGUUACGGCAAUUCGUGCCGAUGAAUAUGUAACGCGCCACUAUAAUUACGGCGGAACACAAUAUCUUCGAUCUGAGAUUCUGAGCGUUCCUCUGUGCAACGGUAUCCACUUAAUUAUCGUAGAAACAUAAUCGUGGCCGUUUAAUCAAACGUAUAUGUAAUAUCGCCAGCGGAGGAACCAUCCUACAUCUUCCUACUAACAGUAACCCCCCGGCGGAAUGAAAUACGAUUAAUCCCACGUAUUCUAUUUUACGCUCGUCUUGACGAAUGGAGUCCCAAUAACGAUAAACGAAUGAUAUACUGCGCGGUAAAUACAAUGAGUAAUCUCUAUCUUCAAGCCCAACGGAGAGACAAUGCAAUCCGGAACCAACUCGAACCAGCCAAAUGAAGGCGUGGUGGCUCAAUAAACUGCCCUAAUAUAACAUGUACGUUUCGAGGCACCUGAAAAAGCAGACCGAUGCACCCUUUGCUCAUCUCCAUUCUUAUUGAUCCUUUCAAAAAAAAAAAAAAGAAACUGACGUGUCCGGGCGUAAAAGUAAAAGGAGCCGCGACACUUCGCGUUGCGGGCUCGCUAUCUUUUCGUUUCGUUAGUCGUUCGCAGAUUUCUUUUCGGAGAUGACGGAGAGGAUCAUCCUCGGAGCCUAAUCAAACGUCGCAAAAGAUGUGUACUGGCUAAUGCCCGAUUAUGCCUGCACCGGCUGUGUGUGUGUGUGUGUCGGUGCAGCUCUUUCUCUCUUCCUUCCUCUACGCGUUUUCUGCUAAGAGCAGGUUCGUCCGCUAUCCACCGCCGCCACCGCCGCCGCGAUAUUAUUGGUUGCCGUAGUCUAGCUACAAUCUCAAGGAGCGGCGGAAAUCGCCCGUUAUGAGGAGCACCGGUGAUUAAUUAUUAUGCAAACUAGCGGUACCGACAUUCCCCGUCCUUUCGCGUAUCCAGGUAGGAGAGGAUGCCAACGCCGCGGCUGCUCGGUAUUCCAACUCGCAUCACCAUUCGCGGCGGCCGAGCUGCGCUAUACGCGCGCGAGCUUUCAUCGUCCGAUCGGCCGACGCGAUCACCAUCAAUCCAUCGCGUGAUGCCCCUCUGUGAUUAGGCGUCGUUUCGCACCUAUCAAAUGAGAAGCUCCGGGCCGCGAGGCCCGCGAGGAUCGCAAAUUGGCCCUAAUAACGUGGCGCGGCAAAAUGAUAUGAUAAUUGUCUCUCGCCGGGCAAAAACAACACAUAUUAAGUAUAUGUAAAUAGGAUUGUCGGUGGCACCGCUAUAUCGAGAGAAUUCGCCGUCGUCACUUAUUUAGAUUGGGUGACGCGAGGUACGACGGAGCACGCGAUCGGAUGUACAUUCCGGAAGACAGAAUUCACUUUAUAAGAGCGCUCUACCAUUUUGCGAUACACUUAUAAAUACGCAAAAUAACUUGGAAUGGCAAACUUGCACUUGCAUUGUUCGUACAUCGAAUAUACGUAGCCUUGCAAGGUAUGAUGGAUUAUCUUGUAGUAUUCUUUUGCGCGCGCGCGCGCGAGAGAGAGAGAGUAUCUUAACUUCUCAGCAAAAUACAGUGGGAGGACCAAACAGAAAAAGUACCGAGAAACAUGAAGCGCGAAUGACCGCGGGUAAGUAAUCGCAAAUAUUUGCCGACACGCCGCGCGCCGCUCGCGAAUCGCCGUGGGAUCGAAUGCGGAAACUGUCGGCCGCCGUACGUACGCCUCUGAUUUAUGCGACAAAUAAUUGCCAAAUAUAAUGAGCCGACGUGACAUAAACAUGUCUCCCCCCGUACGGUGCGAUAAUUAUCAGCAGAUGUCGAUAGCGUCGCGAUGCGGAGGCAUAUGCGGGCUCCGUGGAGCGCGUCCCAUAAUUCUCGAGAAAACAGUAAAAGCAGCCCGCGCGAGCCGGACGCGCCUAUGGUUAUUACCGCGAUAAUUUUCCAGACGAGCAAAUUCAUGGGCUCCCUCUCAGCUGCUAAUCCCACCGCGGCUUAUCCAAUAUAUUUUUCGAGCGCUCAUAAUUAGUAUUCUCGGCCGCAGAAUCUGGAAGUCUGGUUACAUUUCGUGCGGCGGGAUACGCCGUCGUUAGCACGGCGGCCAGCUUUUAAGGCUUCUACGCUCUUAUCCUGCUACCUCCCUUAAACACAGCCUAUGUCGGGUAUGCCGGGCCGGUUACGCCCAGCAGAAGCGCAGAAUCUCAUGCAAAUACGCCGCGGUGCAUCGCAUGUAUAUGGGGGGAGGGGGGGGAGGGGAGCAGAGGGAAGGGGAGGAGGGUUUUGAAGUAAUUACAAUAAUAAUGGCAGUCAUAACAGCGUGUCCGCCUUGCGACGAGCGGACGACGGUGAGCGAGCGAGUCGCCGCGCGUGGGAGCAGGAGCCUUUUUUCCCUUCGCCCUCGAUGUGCCUGUGUACACAUCGGGAAACUCUCCGACGCACUCUCGGCGUUCAUCGCGCGCGGCGCGAGGCGUUCGGACGCUGUUUGCCUUACGUUUACACGGAAUCCCUGAAACACAGCCGAGUUUUGCUUUGGGCGCGGCAGCGCGGAGCUGGUGUCGUGUACCGCAUAUGAACCGGAAAAGCGGAGUCCUUUAACGAGUAGAGGGGAGGGGAGGGGUGGGAGGUGCCACGCACCACUUAGCGGGGGAUCGACGCUGGGCAAACAACACCAACGCGCCAUGGGAAAGUCUUUCGGAUUUCAGCCGCACAGUGGUAAUGUGUUCAGCGCCGACAAACGUCUUUCUUCCUUCCUUCCUUAUCCUUUCCCGAUUGCAGAUGGGGAUUUGAUAAAGCGCUGCCUGCUCAGCGGAAGGUUUACGAGAACACACGUAUGCACGAUAAUUACGGAUUUGUCGAAUGCCAUUUCCACGGUAAAUGAUUCGGAAAAUCCCACGAAGGGGGUGACCUCGCCGCUCAGAUUUCCGCGUAAUGCCGAGGUGAAGGAACCAUAAUGACGGGACAGCGUGAGGGCAGGAGGCGCGUUUGAAGAAACGGUGAUUCUGUUCCCCUGCUAGGAGGAGGAGACACGCGCACAUCUGCGCGGCUGCCUGAGCUUUACCGAAGUAACACGCUCGAUGGCCUUAGCGAGUCACGAUAGUGAUUUCUUAUACGAGGUUUCCAGAUCGACCGACACGACGUCCCGACUAGGAAACUAGUACAAGGAAGUGCAGGACGAUCGCCGCAGAACGAUUCUUAACUUCUUGGAAGCGCUCACGGGUGUGUACGUGUGUGAUAUAGUCCGCGGAACGUGUCGCGACUUUUAUUAACUUUUCUAAAUCGUGAACCUCUGCUCACAUAACGGAAGAUCAAAUUGCUCUUCAAGACAUUAUUUUAUAUCGUUCUUUUAGAUUUAUUUUGUUAACGGCAAACAGGAUUUUAAAAUGACAGUGUAAAAACGGACGAUACGAUCGAAAUGCGCGAGGGGCGAGCGAGCGUUUUCUUUCAUUAUAAAAACGAGAAUAAUUAAGAAUGAGUUUGAGAAGGAGUGAAUCGCGCUGAAAGACACAACCACAUGUGCAGCCUCAGGUGUUGAAGGAUCGAUGAAGUAAAAGAGCGUGACGACCAUGCACCGCUCGUGCUCAAGGCACACAACGGAACGUCACCGCGUGACCUAUGCCCAGGUGCAGGGGAACACCUUCGCUUCUCUCUCUCCGUAUAAAUAAAUAGUGCACUAGAGAGGCUGCCAAUGCACUCGGCUACACGCCAGUAAAGAUCACCUUCUUGACCAGGGGGACAAAGCGCACGGGAAAUAAUGUAACGAACCGGAUGCGAGGCCGCGCAGAGUGGCCACUAGGGGCAACCACCCAGCGUCAGUUGCCAGUGGAGUUGUCUUACCCGAUGUAGACGGGAGAUACGAUCUUCGCCGACUUCUGACCGACGGUUGCGGGCCCAUAUAGCCUCCGAGGCGAGCUCGCGGGACGACAAAUCCUGUCGACGAGGCUCGUACGCUGUCAGCCUCGGAACGACGAUAAUCGCCGCAGGGGACACCCACGAAACGACACGUCGUUAAGCCGAGCGGCGCGAAGUAGCACGUGAAGUUGCUUCGUGACAGACUGUUUUAUCUCGGCCAGUCCUUGUCCCACUGAUGCGCUGGCUUAUAGCUACUCAAUAUGCUAAUCACGAAGAAAAUUAAAUCCAUAUCGCGUUCUCGAUAAAAAUCAGCGAAAGUAUGCUUGAUAGUCUAUCGUUGCUAGAGAUAUAUAGCCCGGAUGAUUUAACGAUUAUUGUGGGUAUCUUUAUGACGAUUGCCGAUAUCUCAGAAGAUUGGACCGUCUAAUGCCGCAAGCUCGAGAGCAAUCGCUAGGUAUAUCCUCAAUGAUCCUCAAUUAUGACGAGGGAUCAUUGCUGUGAUAUGUACCUACGGUUACUGAGUGCGUGCCUGCAAUUGAAAACAGACCAAUUACACUGAUAUCAUGGCAACGUUUGGAUCAGCGCGAUGCGGUUCGGUAUCUCGAAGUCGGGAGUCUCGCGUCGCCCUCCACGACGACGAUACGUCGAGACCCGGAAGAGUCCCUCCUCGCGAAUCUUUCCACAAUUCCUUCAAUAUCCUUCCGAGCCGCGGAAACCCCACCGAGUGCCAGCCGGCAUUGCUCCGCACUCCAUGACCGUCAGCUGGACUCGGUCUACUCCGGGGAAAGGGCUAGAAAAUGUAGCGAAACGAAACGAAAUAGAACAAAACAUGCGAAAUAAAGUCAGAGAACAGGUCGAUGCGAUGUAGCGCAGCGAAGGACAAGGAAACGAAGGGAAGAGCAAACGAGAGAAGAAGGCGAGCUGCUGCUAUUCUUCAUACGUUCGAGAUAGAACGAUCGAGGAGGAGCCGCAGUCUGUUACUAUCUUAUUACAAGGCUCCGUAAAUGGUCUUCAUCAAGGUAAGAUCGUAUUCCACUAGGCCGGCGUUUCCUCCCGUCGCUCCCUCUCCUUUCCUUCUCGCCCUUCUCUUUCCCUGCCCCCUUUUCCUCGUUCUUUUUUUUCCUCUCUUUUCUUCCUACCUCUCCGCUCCUCCUUCGCGUCGUCCGCCGCGGCGGCGAAGCAGUCGGCGAAACCGUGGAGGCUCUUCUCUCGCCAAUGAGAGGCAGAGAAUGAGAAGGUGAGAUUCUUCGACGUUAUUAAUCUCGGAAUGGCCGUCACGCGCAACGGUCGUGGCUUCGUCGCGUACCAGAAAUAAAUUAAUCGAGGGUACCAACGCCACGAGUUCCCGCGUUCGUUCUUCACGAUCGAGUGACUUUCGCCUGUACGCCACACGCGGACGAUUAACGAUUCUGCUCGUUAAGCGACAGUUUCUUUUUCCGCGGGAACGGGCAAUCUGCUCGAGAAGGUUAAACGUAAGGGGUCGCAGCGAAGGCCCUUACGCUUCGCCGAAGACAAAUGGUUCCGAUAAGGUCCGAACGUAAGGCGAGCUGCGUCGCAAACGUCUUCGUCAAAGAUCACGAGGACGGUGCAAUCAAUAAUUGUAAUCGACAAAAGGAAGAAAAUUAUCCGACACGAAUUAUUCGCAAAUGGUAUUUCAGAUGAUCAGUUCUUCGACAAAUUUAGAACUGCCCUUUCCUUGAAAAACUAUUAUUAUUUGCUAGAUCUCUUUAAUUAAACCACGAAUAAUUUUCUCUUAUUUAUACUUAUACUUCUGAAACUUAACGAAAGAAACUUGAUGAGUUUCUCGUUUUCAAUCUGUAAAUGGCGAGUCGUUACGGAAGAAAAUAGAACGUGACCGAGCGUUACAUCAUUUUCGAUUAGCUCGCUCUCCGGGAUAUCUAUCUCGGUUGCCUCGCGAGGGAUAAUCGUGCGAAUAUUCUGACAACAAUCGUAGGAAGUUGUGGGUAGGCGAGGACCACGAGCGUUUAGGAGUGACAGCGCUCAGCGGGGAUUUCCCGUGCGUCACAGUCACGCUCUACUUUUUCAGAUUAAAUUUGUAUUUUUUUUUCUGGGUUUUUUUUUCUAUUUGUCGCAUUUCUUCGGGGUAUCAGCCCACGCGUAUCGGACGCCGCGAUCGUGCCA